UAAAAAAAUUCAAAAGUGUUGACAUUUGAAUUAUUAUUUUUACCUCAGAGCUCAUCCACUUGUUUGACACUUUUCUACUGCAAAUAAUGAGAAGAUAAGGUGAAUCACGUCCGUGCAGCACAAGAAUGUUCAUGCGGCAAUAGUUUUACUAAGUCGCUGAUUCUUCCAUCUCAACGUACAUGUUCCAACUUGAUAUGCAACCACAACUGGUAGUCAGGAUCCCACCAGCUACUUCUCCAACUCCAUCACCUGCCGACGCAUCUAUCACCACACCAGCAUGUGUUCGUGGAAGGCGGACCGCAGCUGUAGCAGCCGCUGUCCGACUGAUGGCCCUUCCUUGCCCAGUCCUAGCCUCCUGAGAAAGGGCUUGUUUCCAUCCUCCUAUUGCUCUGCGCUACUCUCGCGCGACUACUUGUGGUACCCGACGUUGUGUUUGUGGAAGGGUCUUCAUCCGAGCUAUUGGCAUUCAAAAUCCCAUUGGAACCGGUGGCGCUGUGGCAGGAGCGCAUGAGAUUAUGCUGCUUGACGUCAACGAUGACAGAGCACGCUUAACUGAGUCUCAUUCGUGUCGAGGGUUAGGCGAUAUUGGUUUGCAUGAUCGUUCAGGUGGAAGGAGCUAGUGGCAAGGCAGAGGGUGUUGUCGUCAAGAGCAAGGUGCAUCGGGAUGGUCGGCCUGACCGUCAUCUCCUUGGUCACGAUGUGGCCUAUUUCCAUUGUGCUUUUCGGGGCUUUGUUGUCCUUACCUUGUUACAGCGGGCUUUAGAGCAUUUUAAUCGGAAGAUGAUACUUCUUCGACGUGGAUGGCGCUAUCUGUCCCUAAUAAUAAAACACGUAUCGCUUCUCUCGUACGUCGUUGGCACUUUUACACAAAAGCCCCUCCAUUAUUGGGUAUUCAACCCACAGUCUGUGUGUAAGUCACGAGAACAUGAGGGUUCUUCCGCGGCGGCCUCUAUCGCAGGACCGACUCGGCGCGCCCCCCUCCCUGACCCUCUCUCCAUUGGGUAAUCAUUGAUCGAUUGUCCCCUCGCUCCAUCCGGCCAAGGUUUCUCCCGCCGGCGAGGAGCGCGCACACCGAAUCUGGUCCGGGGGGCCCAGUUUGCUCCGCUCCGGCUCGGUGUGUUGGUGGAUUCGGUUCUAGGGGAUGGAGCGGCAGCGGUGGCUGCAGGCCGCGGUUGUCAUGUCCUUGCUGCUGCUUUGCUCCGGGAGAGGUGGUAGGAUUCGGAGGCCAUGUCGUUGGGCACCGUGCUGGUCGCCAUAGCGGCGUCCAUCGGGAACCUGCGGCAGGGGUGGGAUAAUGCGACCAUUGCAGGUAAUUCGGUCGUGCCUCCAAAAAAAACAGUCGGCCUUUCGACGCGGUUGGGAAGAUACUCUUUGUGUUGCAGCGCUUCCCAGGGGCCCGUCUUAGGUGACGGCAAUAAUUGGGUAUCUUGCCGGCUCCGAUCAUGACGGAUUUGGCGGAACUGCAUGUAGUAGUAGCAGCAGCGGUUGUAAAAACAGAUAUUCUUUCUUGUUCUACAAUCUUUUUAAGUCGAUCAAGCGGCUGAACCGAAAUCCUCGCAAGAUUUCCGAGUUCUGUGAACGGAUCCGUUUCUUGCGCGAUCUGCGCAUCUGAACCAUGAUAAUUCAGUCCGUGUCGACAUGUUGUGAAUUC